UCUAUUUGGCCUCAUUCUCUGUCUGAGCUCUAUUGCAGUUUGCCACGUAAUCUCCCGAGUUCAGACCACAUGCCGCGUUCACUUGCUAGUCAGAACAAGGAAACUUCAGACUUGCUAACUGGUUGUAGUUGCUGUAUACACGUGUCGCGUUUCAGCACUUAUAGCAAGUCGGAAAUGUCCGAGUUUCCUAGUCCCGACUAGUAAGUGAACGCGGCAAUAGACAUAGGUACAAGGGGCAGUCUGCGGAGUAAGUAGCAGAGCAACAGAAGCCUGGUGAAACUGGACGUGUUUACACGGGCGAAACAGAAGCGCUUAACGUUACAAAUUCAAGGUGGAUAUUAUUUUCCUUUAUUUUGUGAAAACAAAACAUUGAAACGUGGAUAUUGUUAAUUGAAGGAGGUGCGUGGUGUUGGCAAGCAAGUGGACCUCCACCCGACUGCACCUCCAGAACUGUAGAGGCAGUCACUGCACCUGCAGGAUUUGUCUGAUAGAUUUGGCUGAGCCUAGCUGAGUGCUGCAGUGUGUCCACCCAGGGAGGGAACCACCAUGAGGCAGCUGAAGGGGAAGCCCAAGAAGGAGACGUCCAGGGACAAGAAGGAACGUAAGGCGGCCAUGCAGGAGGCCCGGUCGCAGGUGGCCACAGUGGUUCUACCCACGUUGGCUGUGGUGGUGCUGCUCAUCGUAGUCUUUGUCUACGUGGCCUCCAUGCCCAGAGCCAUAGAGUAGUGACCAGUUCCACACCCCUCACCUUGGCCCUAACCCCUCAAUUUUAGUAUGUCUGUAGGUUUUUAAUAGGUAUAAGCAGUGUCAGGGUUCUCCAACGUUCCUGGAGAGCUACCAUCCUGUAGGUCUUCACUCCGACCCUGUUCCUGGAGAACCUAAACCUACAGGAUGGGGGCUCUCCAGGAACAGCGUUGGAGAGCCCUUAGCAGUGUCGUUGUAAUUCCACCAUAGGAGCAAUAUCUAAUAGUUAUGGGCCAAGGGGAAGGGUAGGGACCGGCUCUAAGAUGACUGGGACCCAAUGGGGAUGCAUGCCCCUGCCCUGCCACCAUGGACUGGGUCCCAAUUUACCCAGAGACUUGCUGCACCCAAAGGAUGACCCCAAACCACCCCUCCCCCUGACUGCCAGCUUAACAUGCAUAAAGACAUUUUCUGGUCACUCAUCCCAUCCUCACCCCAUUCCAGCUUUUCGCUCUCAUCCCUCUUUCUCUCAUAUCGAUCUGUCUGUAUGGUCCUCACGGACCUGCCAUUUGUCUUAAUUGAUGCGUCCUCCCAAGUGCAGUUUUGCCUUGAGAGAAUUGAGCUGCAAAACAAUCAGAUUUAAUGAGGUAUUACGGUAGUGGCUUCAUAGGUGCCUUUUGAUGGCUGAAGAUGUGUGGCAACUAAGGCAGCCAUGUUGGCUCAAGGGCGGAACUUCUAUCCAUUACAUCAGUGUUUGCCAACCCUGGUCUUCGAAUACCUCCAACAGUAUACCUUUUUAUUGAAACCCUGGACAAAAACACCUGACUCAACUGAUCAUCAAGCCUCAAUGAGCUGAAUGAGGUGGGUUGCUGUUGGGGGUACUGGAGGACCAGGGUUGGGAAACACUGCAUUACAUGUCUAUCAAUUGCUCUGUAACAACGGUUGGAUUCAUUUUUGUUCUGGUGCUGUCUUAGUUUCAAUUUCCUGUUUACAAAAGGACUUUUAGGGCAUAGCUUGCCAAGUUUGACCUGGGGAUGUUUUAAUCAGGUGGCAGGUUGAGGAAGUGUGACUUAAUUAAUCUACUGGCAUUGUUGAGCAAUGUGUUUUAAGAUUAAAGUCACAUGACAAAGGCCAGCAGUCCAAGCUAUGUCUGUAGAAUGUAUACAUCCACAAAUGUGUGAUUUUUUUUUAAGAAAAAGAAAUGUAUUUUAACAUGCCAGCAAUUGGUCCUGUCUGUUCGAAUAGUUGAAUGCAACUCAGGAUUUUGUCCUGAUUGAAUGUGGUGUUUGUACUGGACAGAUUGUGAAUAUGUCACAGGAGAACAUGACACUGUAUUCCAUGUACAAUCCCAGCGCUACACACUUUGUACUUUUUUUUAAGCUACUGACAACUUUGACUUUUGAGUUGCUCAGUAUGACAUCUGUGCAGAUGAGGAAAAUAUGUGCCUUAUGUUUGACAAUGAGCCUUUUCAGUUAAUAAAGAACUGAAAGACUU